UGGGGAAUUUUGGACAAUGGGGGAAACCCUGAUCCAGCCAUCCCGCGUGUUCGAUGAAGGCCUUCGGGUUGUAAAUCACUUUUGGCUGGACAGAAACGUCAUGGGUUAAUACCCCGUGAAACUUACUUUACCUGCAGAAUAAGCACCGGCUAACUACCUGCCAGCAGCCGCGGUAAUACGUAGGGUGCAAGCGUUAAUCGUAAUUACUGGACGUAAAGCGUGCGCAGGCGGUUCGGAAAGAAAGAUGUGAAAUCCCAGAGCUCAACUUUGGAACUGCAUUUUUAAUUACCUGGCUAGAGUGUGUCAGAGGGAGGUGGAAUUCCGCGUGUAGCAGUGAAAUUCGUAGAUAUGCGGAGGAACACCGAUGGCGAAGGCAGCCUCUUGGGAUAACACUGACGCUCAUGCACGAAAGCGUGGGGAGCAAACAGG
rnacentral:rRNA from 1 species